GAGCCCGCACAAGCAGUGGAGUAUGUGGUUUAAUUCGACGCAACGCGAAGAACCUUACCAGGAUUUGACAUCCCAGGAACCCGGCGUAAUGGCUGGGGUGCCCCUUCGGGGGAAUCUGGAGACAGGUGGUGCAUGGUUGUCGUCAGCUCGUGUCGUGAGAUGUUGGGUUAAGUCCCGCAACGAGCGCAACCCUUACUGUCAGUUGCUACGCAAGAGCACUCUGACGGGACUGCCGUUGACAAAACGGAGGAAGGUGGGGAUGACGUCAAAUCAUCAUGCCCCUUACAUUCUGGGCUACACACGUACUACAAUGGCGAGGACAAAGGGACGCGAUGUCGCGAGGCGGAGCAAAUCCCAUAAAAAUCGCCCCAGUUCAGAUCGCAGGCUGCAACCCGCCUGCGUGAAGUCGGAAUUGCUAGUAAUCGCGGAUCAGCAUGCCGCGGUGAAUACGUUCCCGGGCUUU
rnacentral:rRNA from 1 species